rnacentral:ncRNA from 1 species
UGGAGGGCGACUGACUGUGGGGAGGAAGCGUGAAGCGAAACCGCGAGCCGAUGUACAAGAACCGGAUAGAAGGUGCUGCUGAGCAGGAGAGCGGGCAUGAAACCGCGAAGCUCUCGUGGCCAAAGCGAAGUGGCGUAAAUCCGGUGGUUGCGCAGCGAAGGAGUGCGUC